rnacentral:rRNA from 1 species
AGGCCGAAAGGCGUAGUCGAUGGGAAACAGGUUAAUAUUCCUGUACUUGGUGUUACUGCGAAGGGGGGACGGAGAAGGCUAUGUUAGCCGGGCGACGGUUGUCCCGGUUUAAGCAUGUAGGCUGGUUGUCCAGGCAAAUCCGGAUAACCAAGGCUGAGGUGUGAUGACGAGGCACUACGGUGCUGAAGUAACAAAUGCCCUGCUUCCAGGAAAAGCCUCUAAGCAUCAGGUAACAUCAAAUCGUACCCCAAACCGACACAGGUGGUCAGGUAGAGAAUACCAAGGCGCUUGAGAGAACUCGGGUGAAGGAACUAGGCAAAAUGGUGCCGUAACUUCGGGAGAAGGCACGCUGGUGUGUAGGUGAAGCCCCUGCGGGUGGAGCUGAGACCAGUCGAAGAUACCAGCUGGCUGCAACUGUUUAUUAAAAACACAGCACUGUGCAAACACGAAAGUGGACGUAUACGGUGUGACGCCUGCCCGGUGCCGGAAGGUUAAUUGAUGGG